GCAGCCUGGUUAAUGAUGACGUAUUUACGGCACCUUGCUGAAUAACAAAAACAAACUGUCACCUCGUACGCUUCUGUCAGCGGUGCUUGUUGGAGGAUGCGACGGCGGGCAAAAAGACGCUAUAAAACCGGAUAAUAGAAAGCGUAAAAACGGCGCUGAAAAGGCGACAAUUAAAAAAGGAAAGCUCUAGAAAGUGACGUGGCCAGAUGUGCUAAACUGAGCAACUUUUUCAUUAAAACCAGUCAGAGUGAAACGCCAAAUGAAGACGAUGAGACCGCAGCAGCUAAUUGUCCAGUUGGCUGCUAACAGUGAAAAUGAAGAGCCAGUACCAAGCACCCGCCGUGAGCUCAGGACUCCAGAGUGGGCAGGGCUCAAGAUAGCAGCAUAGCCACACAGUGAUGACCAGGGAGGAAUUGCAGGAUGCAGCAGCCUGACAGAAGAGCCCAGUUACCCUCCUCUCCUGCCUGCUGAUUGGGCGUCUCUCCGCUGAGACCUCUUACGAACGCUCCUGAUAACCAAAUGAGCAUCUAAAGUAAAUAACAGGCUGACACACGGCAGGCUCCCAAACAGAACAUACAGCUGCUCAUUAAAAUCUCCCCAGCCGUUGCCAUACAUUUGAUACAGGUUGUAGCGAGAGUCUCCCCACUGGUUACAGGUUACACUUGUGCACACUCACGGUUUUCCUGUGCAAUGAGGGAUGAUUAGCAUCAUUUUAGGCACGCACACUUUUUACCACCUUAUUAGUUUAACCUUCUACAAGCUUGUUUUCACCCUGUAUGAUUGUCUGACUGGUCAUUCCAAGAUGUCAGCAAAUACUUUUAACUGAUGGCCGGAUCGACAAAAAUAUAACCCAAGUUGUAGUUUUCCUUUCAAAAACAUCCCCUGUAGCAUAGACUGUAUUAAGUCUUAUGUGAACCCAUUGACUGAGCACAACAACAGAGCUGCUUCCUCAUGCUCCCCUGACCAGGCAGACCCUUUGGCUGAGGCGACCAAUUAAUUAUAGACGUGACUUUAAAACUUCCUGUUUUUCCCUCCUUAAUUAAGCCAAUCUGCCCUGCUGCUCUAAAGAGAGGAAAUACCUCAAAAUAGUUCCCAAUUUCAGCACAUUCAAUUAUUUUGUGCCCAGUAGCAGAUUGCAUCGGCCGUGUUAAUGUACGGACCAACGAUGUUUGAUCACAGGGAAAUUAUGUCUGUCAUUUCUUCCUGCUUCGCCCCCGAUUAAUGUGGGAAUUGUGAGGCGAGUUGGUGCCCAACGUGGGCACAGCCCGCGCACGGAUUACUAACUACGUGCCCUCAGUCAGGCCCAUCCAACAUCAAUCUCUGCCUGAGAUGUUUAUUAUUACACUCAUGCAGUCACUUAUUCUGAAGAGAGAGAGAAAAAAAUCCCUGAUUUAUGCCUCCACUGUUACCCUUUCCUGUCCUCAUUUAUGAAAACAAAAUUCCAGUGAAUUCCUGCAGUAUUAACACUAAGCAGUUACGAGGUCAAGCUUUCACUUACACUGCACAAUUCAACUGGCCGGGCACAGUCCACUCACAGAUAUUGUGUUGUUUGCUGCAGCUUCACUGUGGCUUUGUUAUGCCACGUAAGCCGAGUAAAGGAGUCUGAACACAAACUUACAAACUGACCUUGACACCAGACACGCUUCAUAUCUCUCUCCGCCUUUUUUUUUUUUUUUACACUUACACUAAAUCUACAGCCAGUGUUCAAGAGCACCAAGGCAACUUGAGUGUUAUCAUAAAUGCACCACACUUGUUCAACACCUGCCAGUGUUUUUCAGUGGUGCCCUUUUCAACUUUGAACUGAAACUCACCUCCAGGCCUCACCCUCUGUGUUUUUCACUGGGAAACAGGAAAAAGGAGGAGAAAGUGAAGACCUACGUGGAAUGAAAAACCAGGGCUGGAACAUUUUAAAAGGGUACUUAAUGUGAAGUGUUCCUUUAUUAUUUUAUUAGUCAUAUCAGGUGAAUACCAUCUAUUGUUCUCUGCUGUGGUAUCUGUGUGUCAGAUGUCAGUGAGGUUGUGGGUGUGUACCAUCAGAGAGUAUUGUAUAUUUCAUGAUACCCCCGUUUUACCUCAUUAAAUACAUAUUCGUAAUAUGGACAGUAUAUUAGUAUUUCAAUAGUUUAUUUUAUCUGUAUUUAUUUUGGGUAAAGGCUUCUCUGCGACACCUUUUCAAUUAUGAUUUUGAAAUAGAGGCCCUGAACUAAAUAAGGGCGGGUGACAGAGAAGGUGAAUUUUAUUUUAGCUUUUUAUCUCUUAAGAACAUUUUUAUGAUGUACCGUAUGGUAAUGUGGGUAAUAAAUUACGCACCAGUAACACAUACAAGUAAACUCCUUAUAAUUUUACAUUUUAAAUGAAAAUC